UCCAUGAAGUUGGAUUCGCUAGUAAUCGCGCAUCAGCCAUGGCGCGGUGAAUACGUUCCCGGGCCUUGUACACACCGCCCGUCAAGCCAUGGGAGCCGGGGGUGCCUGAAGUUCGUGACCGCAAGGAGCGACCUAGGGCAAAACUGGUGACUGGGGCUAAGUCGUAACAAGGUAGC
rnacentral:rRNA from 1 species